GACGAACGCUGGCGGCGUGCUUAAUACAUGCAAGUCGAACGGAAAGGCCUCUUUCGGGGGGUACUCGAGUGGCGAACGGGUGAGUAACACGUGAGUAACCUGCCCUUGACUUUGGGAUAACUUCAGGAAACUGGGGCUAAUACCGGAUAGGAGCUCCUGCUGCAUGGUGGGGGUUGGAAAGUUUCGGCGGUUGGGGAUGGACUCGCGGCUUAUCAGCUUGUUGGUGGGGUAGUGGCUUACCAAGGCUUUGACGGGUAGCCGGCCUGAGAGGGUGACCGGCCACAUUGGGACUGAGAGACGGCCCAGACUCCUACGGGAGGCAGCAGUGGGGAAUAUUGCACAAGGGGUGGAAGCCUGAUGCAGCAACGCCGUGUGCGGGAUGACGGCCUUCGGGUUGUAAACCGCUUUCGCUCAUGACGAAGCUUUGUGUGACGGUAGUGGGUAAAGAAGCACCGGCUAACUACGUG
rnacentral:rRNA from 1 species